AGAGUUUGAUCAUGGCUCAGAUUGAACGCUGGCGGCAUGCCUUACACAUGCAAGUCGAACGGCAGCACGGGAGCAAUCCUGGUGGCGAGUGGCGUACGGGUGAGUAAUAUAUCGGAACGUGCCCAGUCGUGGGGGAUAACGCAGCGAAAGCUGUGCUAAUACCGCAUACGAUCUAUGGAUGAAAGCGGGGGACCCGUAAGGGCCUCGCGCGAUUGGAGCGGCCGAUAUCAGAUUAGGUAGUUGGUGUGGUAAAGGCGCACCAAGCCGACGAUCUGUAGCUGGUCUGAGAGGACGACCAGCCACACUGGAACUGAGACACGGUCCAGACUCCUACGGGAGGCAGCAGUGGGGAAUUUUGGACAAUGGGCGCAAGCCUGAUCCAGCAAUGCCGCGUGCAGGAUGAAGGCCUUCGGGUUGUAAACUGCUUUUGUACGGAACGAAACGGUCUGCUUUAAUACAGUGGGCUAAUGACGGUACCGUAAGAAUAAGCACCGGCUAACUACGUGCCAGCAGCCGCGGUAAUACGUAGGGUGCGAGCGUUAAUCGGAAUUACUGGGCGUAAAGCGUGCGCAGGCGGUUAUAUAAGACAGAUGUGAAAAUCCCCGGGCUCAACCUGGGACCUGCAUUUGUGACUGUAUAGCUAGAGUACGGUAGAGGGGGAUGGAAUUCCGCGUGUAGCAGUGAAAUGCGUAGAUAUGCGGAGGAACACCGAUGGCGAAGGCAUCCCCUGGACCUGUACUGACGCUCAUGCACGAAAGCGUGGGAGCAAACAGGAUUAGAUACCCUGGUAGUCCACGCCCUAACGAUGUCAACUGGUUGUUGGGUCUUCACUGACUCAGUAACGAAGCUAACGCGU
rnacentral:rRNA from 1 species